CGUCGAUGGUCUUACAGCUUUCAGACCUGAAAACACGCUCAAGAACAUGAGAGACUUUGGACUGAGAAGCAAUGAGCAGAAAACGAACACGUGAAGUCACUCGACUCGAGCAGCGGGAGCGAGCAACAGCACAACGUUGACCUCCUCAUCAAACCUAGAGUGUGUUAAGAAGGUAGCCGUUCCCAGCUGUGCACCCUCCCUUUGUGCAGACCAUGCACGAUACGAGGGCACUGGGUGAGGAACACCAAAGGAGUUAUAUUGAGAUGUGGCCGCCCUGGAAGCCUUCAAGAAUGGGAAGUCCAUGAAAGCGGCAUUUGAUGCUGUUGGGGUGGAUCGCAACACAGUGGCUGUUGUGGCUGUGCAUUAACAUUUCAUGCCUCACAUAAUUAAUAACUUGUCUACAGCACGUUUGUUGUUU